AGCCGUGUGGCGUAGUGGUAGUGAGUAGGGCUUGUAACCAAAAGGUUGCUGGUUCGAUUCCCCGCUGGGGCGC